rnacentral:rRNA from 1 species
GAUGAACGCUGGCGGCGUGCCUAAUACAUGCAAGUCGAGCGAACGGACGAGAAGCUUGCUUCUCUGAUGUUAGCGGCGGACGGGUGAGUAACACGUGGAUAACCUACCUAUAAGACUGGGAUAACUUCGGGAAACCGGAGCUAAUACCGGAUGAUAUUUUGAACCGCAUGGUUCAAAAGUGAAAGACGGUCUUGCUGUCACUUAUAGAUGGAUCCGCGCUGCAUUAGCUAGUUGGUAAGGUAACGGCUUACCAAGGCAACGAUGCAUAGCCGACCUGAGAGGGUGACGGGCCACUCUGGAACUGAGACACGGUCCAGACUCCUACGGGAGGCAGCAGUAGCGAAUCUUCCGCAAUGGGCGAAAGCCUGACGGAGCAACGCCGCGUGAGUGAUGAAGGUCUUCGGACCGUAAAACUCUGUUAUUAGGGAAGAACAUAUGUGUAAGUAACUGUGCACAUCUUGACGUUACCUAAUCAGAAAGCCACGGCUAACUACGUG